rnacentral:rRNA from 1 species
CCCCAAGAUGUUCUGGGCCGCACGCGCGCUACACUGAACAGUUCAACAAGUCUUAACCUUGGCCGAUAGGUCUGGGUAAUCUUUGAACGCUGUUCGUGAUUGGGAUAGACCUUUGCAAUUAUGGGUCUUCAACGAGGAAUUCCUAGUAAACGCAAGUCAUCAGCUUGCAUUGAUUACGUCCCUGCCCUUUGUACACACCGCCCGUCGCACCUACCGAUUGAAUGGUCCGGUGAAAUCUCGGGACGGCGGCUUGGUCGCUUGCGUCCGACUGCUGAAACUUGAUUAAACCAUAUCAUUUAGGGGAAGGUGAAGUCGUAACA